UAAGGAAUAUUGGUCAAUGGGGGCAACCCUGAACCAGCCAUGCCGCGUGCAGGAUGACUGCCCUAUGGGUUGUAAACUGCUUUUGUUAGGGAAUAAACCCCACUACGUGUAGUGGGCUGAAUGUACCUAAAGAAUAAGGAUCGGCUAACUCCGUGCCAGCAGCCGCGGUAAUACGGAGGAUCCGAGCGUUAUCCGGAUUUAUUGGGUUUAAAGGGUGCGUAGGCGGCACUUUAAGUCAGGGGUGAAAGACGGCAGCUCAACUGUCGCAGUGCCCUUGAUACUGAAGUGCUUGAAUGCGGUUGAAGACGGCGGAAUGAGACAAGUAGCGGUGAAAUGCAUAGAUAUGUCUCAGAACACCGAUUGCGAAGGCAGCUGUCUAAGCCGUUAUUGACGCUGAUGCACGAAAGCGUGGGGAUCGAACAGG
rnacentral:rRNA from 1 species